GUUGAAGUUAAAAGUUGUAGUAUUUUGAGAAAGUGAAUCCAGUCAGAUUGUGAUGACAGCGAGUGUUCAGGUGUGUUCAGGAUGAGUUCAAAGAUGAAUGUUUGAUGAAUAACUCAGAUUUUUAAUGACAUCUUUCAUGUUUCUUGCUAUAAGCUCAGUCUUUUACAUUGUUGUUCAGUAUCAGUUGUGGAGAUCAGAUUGAUCAGAUUCACCUCUGCAGCUCCAUCAUGGAUAAAACACAAUCAUCAGCAGAUGAAGAUUUUUCUACAGGAUGCAGG